rnacentral:rRNA from 1 species
UGGGGAAUAUUGCACAAUGGAGGAAACUCUGAUGCAGCGACGCCGCGUGAGUGAAGAAGUAAUUCGUUAUGUAAAGCUCUAUCAGCAGGGAAGAUAGCGACGGUACCUGACUAAGAAGCUCCGGCUAAAUACGUGCCAGCAGCCGCGGUAAUACGUAUGGAGCAAGCGUUAUCCGGAUUUACUGGGUGUAAAGGGAGUGUAGGUGGCCAUACAAGUCAGAAGUGAAAGCCCGGGGCUCAACCCCGGUACUGCAUUGGAAACUGUCGUACUAGAGUGUCGGAGGGGUAAGUGGAAUUCCUAGUGUAGCGGUG